rnacentral:rRNA from 1 species
UACAGAGGGUGCAAGCGUUAAUCGGAAUUACUGGGCGUAAAGGGCGCGUAGGCGGAUAGUUAAGUGAGAUGUGAAAUCCCUGGGCUUAACCUAGGAACUGCAUCUGAAACUGGCUGUCUGGAGUGCGGUAGAGGGUAGUGGAAUUUCCGGUGUAGCGGUGAAAUGCGUAGAUAUCAGGAGGAACACCGGUGGUGUAGACGGCUUUCUGGACCGUAACUGACGCUGAGACACGAAAAGCGUGGGGGAGCGAACAGG